rnacentral:rRNA from 1 species
CAAUAGCGUAUAUUAAAGUUGUUGCAGUUAAAAAGCUCGUAGUUGGAUUUGUGGCGUACGGUGUGUUCCGGGCACUUGUUGCCUGAGUAACCUGCUGUUGCCAUCCUUGGGUGGAACCUGUGUGGCAUAGGUUGUCGUGCAGGGGAUGCCCAUCAUUUACUGUGAAAAAAUUAGAGUGUUCAAAGCAGGCUUAUGCCGUUGAAUAUAUUAGCAUGGAAUAAUGAGAUAGGACUUUUUUGCUAUUUUGUUGGUUUGCGCAAAGAGGUAAUGAUUAAUAGGGACAGUUGGGGGUAUUCGUAUUCCAUUGUCAGAGGUGAAAUUCUUGGAUUUUUGGAAGACGAACUACUGCGAAAGCAUUUACCAAGGAUGUUUUCAUUAA